UAGCGGAGCAGCUGAGAACCACACAAACAUCUCUUAAAUCUUUGGUGCAACAAGUUUCUCAAAUGCAUACACAACAGAUGAUGCAAACACUAUGGAUGCAAGAGAUGUGCGGUGGAAUCGUUCCUCAAGUCGGCAUGCCUCCUUUUGCGUCGUCGCCUAUCAUCCAACAGCCGUCACAGCCAAGAGGGUGCUGCCUCAGAAGGGCAAGAGCAGCAGAUGCAGCGGACAGCUCCACAAGGUCCUUUCCCGCCUCCUUCUCAGCUAGAAACACAUAUGUAGUGGAUAGCUACGCGGGGUGCUUUCCCGACUCCUCAGCUAGGCACAUCGAUGUAGAGUAGUGGACUGCUCCACAGAGUGCUUUUUCGUCAUCUUCUCAGCCAGGGACAGCUCACUGGCCGUUCGGACCGACGCAGUGGGGCGUUGGACCGCAAGGGUUUUGUCGGUGUUCGACCUCCAGUCCAACAGCAGCACUGCCACACCCAUCCCUAGAGGAGGUAUGCUACUUUAGUUUGAACAAAUUAGAGCCUAAACUGAUAUUUUCAACUAACUUUGUAACAUAUCUUGUAUUUUGUAGAGUUUAACUUCUCGUCAUGUUACACCUCAUACCCCGAGCGAGACCACUCUCACAUUAGUGGGAGUGGCUACGUGUUACACGACACUUUAACUUCUUUGAUCAUUUGCUUUACUUAUUUCGUUUGCUCGAUUGGACUAGUAAUGAUUAUGUGAUUGUGAACUUGUAUUUGGUUUAAACUUGGAUUAAAGCCAAACGAACAGUCUAUUUGAUUUAAACUUGUAUGAUAUGAUUGUGAACUUGUAGGUUGGCAUGUGUGAAAUUCUGUGAUAAUUGUGCACUAAGAAUCUGUUUUAACCUGAUUUGGAGGCUUCCCAAUUGGGGAGGCAGAAAAAACAAAAAACAUAAAAAAGGUUAAUAAAUUCGUCGAUGAUGGACAAAUUUAUGAACAUCGUGGCUUAAAUUCGUCAGUGGCUAGCGGAUUUAUGCGCACACAUGGCAUCAAACCGGUAGGCUAUGGUGCAGCCACGUAGCGCUUAAACUCGUGAGUGGCCGAUGAAUAUAAUGCAAAUUUGUCGGUUAGCGACGAGUUUACUUGACACGUGUCAUAGAGCCACCACCGGUUGGCGUCGCCACGUGGCAUGUAAGUUCAUCGGCUGAGCCGACAAAUUUAAGAUAAAGUCGUCGAUCUAGUCGACGAUUGACGAAUUUAACUUAAAUUCGUUUGUUCCUGGUCCACGAAUUUUAUUGUUGCACUAAACGUUCUCCUAUUUUUUUCAUUGGGUUUUAAGAGUUUUUUUCACGGCAUAUUAGUAUACACAACUUUUAAUUUUUCUCACAGACUUUUUGAAGUAAGUUUACAUAUGACACAACUGUCCAAGGGAGAGUGUUACAAUUCAAAUCCAAAUCUGCCGAAUCGCUCGAAUGGCCAGUUGUAGUAGUAGUUAAGGAGGAGACUUGGGUAUGAAUCCACCAUCAUCCCACGGCUAUCUUCAGGAAACUUGACCACAAGUUCCUCUCUCCCCUGUAUAAAAUUAUGUAAACCAUGUGAUUAAUAAAAUCAAAGAUUCAUUUUGUCUUCAUUUACACCCUAACAUGGCAGGCCGCCGGAUUCGAUCGCUGGCAGCCCAACAGAUCCAGUCGCCUGUCCACCAGGUGAGGAGCCGGAUCAACAGGGGAGCAGGCCAGAACGACGAAUGAGAGCCAACUGAUAUUUCAACCCGGAUCCACACACGGAUUUGUAACAACAUCCGGAAAGGAUCCUCUGUUUUGAUAGACCUAUACGUACUCCUAUGAUACGCGUGCACAAAAUUUCUUUUAUAAGCCUAUCUCGAGCAGACUCCUAUGAUAGACCUAUAAGUAUCUUCAUUCAUAUUUUAAAUUUUAAAAGCUGCAACAGGGCAUGCGAAGA